CUUCUGAACUGAGAUUGUCUGAGGCAUCGCUGAGUCCACUGCUGAUGGAGCUGCUUUCAUCCCAGCUACAGGACAGGAGAGAUGAAGGAAGACACUCUGUCUUUCUCUGGCAAGAGAAAAUGUUCUAUCUCCUUAACAGAAAGGUAUAUUAUAAAGACAAGUUCAUCCUAUCCUGGGAUCAGGUCCUGCUUCUAAACAGAACAUGCUGUUCUUCUGAGAAAGAAUACUGAGGAAAGAUCAAUGCGGUUUUAUGAUCCUAUCAGCUCUUCUGGAUCAAGGUAAGAUCUCUGCCAUUUGCUCUCUGGAUAUGCUGAAUAGUUGACACUAUGGGACCAGACUUCAUUAUCCUGGAGAUUCUCUAUCCCUGACUUAAACUGGAACCUCAGUCUUCCUCUUGUUGGUUUACUUCUCGGUUAGGUGACGUACUUCUUCUGCUAGGUUUCUGAAAAGGGGUGCUUUGGAAGCA